rnacentral:rRNA from 1 species
CCCCCCUCAAGAUGAGAUUUCCCAACUUCGGUUAUAAGAUCCCUCAAAGAUGAUGAGGUUAAUAGGUUCGAGGUGGAAGCAUGGUGACAUGUGGAGCUGACGAAUACUAAUCGAUCGAAGACUUAAUCAAAUU